AUUAUUCAAGAGGGACAUCACUUUGCUAAACAAAAAUUGUAAGUGAUACAGAAAAAAUAAGUAUAUCACAAAUAUGAAUGGAACUAUGCUCCAACAAAAGUACAAAACGAAUGAAUCAAAAGCAAAGGCUGCUUAUGAGCUUGUUCAUUUAGAUUGAAACUGGUAGCUAGUUCCUUACGUGCAGAUGUAUUCUCUUGAGAAACAUGACGCCUUAAAAAAUAUACACGGGACACUUUAGAUUGAACUCAACAACAAAAGUUUGUGUUCUAUUAAGUGUCUGUACAGUUGUCCAUUAACCUGAACAUCAUCAACCUAACUUGGAAACAUAAAAUUGUUACUGCCAGAGUUCAUACUUCCAUAUAUGUUGUGCCUCCUUUCGAAUUCUCUACAAUUGGGUACUCAAGAUUGAAGCUGAUUGUACCUCCAACCUUUACUGGGACAAAAAAAAAGACCAUUUCACUGUCGAGAAUUACAAGAGUGCUCAAUUUCAUCAACUAUUCAUUUCCCAUAUUCAUUACUCUAGUAAUGGUUACUUUGCUCCUAAACUAGCAGUACUCCCACUGUACAUGUUUUGGAUGUUUUUUGGCUUUCAAAAUCGAUUGCUGCUCGUGGUGUUAUCAAAUUUCCAAAAAAGCACCAGCUGCAAUCAAGAAUAGUACAUUACCUAUCCACUUUUUUAAAGGACAUUACAUAUCCACUUAAUCCACAACACACUCCUACAGAAAUCAAGUCAUUUUUUCCCUCUACUAAUGUAUACAGGAAGCAUCAUUUUUUCAGGUUUAGUCAUGACUGCCUCUUUGCGAGGCAGGUAAGCCAGGAACCCGUCGGCUGCUCUGCUUCCACUGCUGGGGAGUGGUGAGGUGGAACACCGAAUGAGGAGGGUAGCGAAGGAACCACUGUGAAUUUUUAACAUCAUAAGAUAUUUAUGUACUGCAAAUAUUCUGAAAUUUGUACACCAGCCAGUAUGCACUCUCUAGCAAGCAGCCAAAUAUUCUGAAAUAUGUACAACAGCCAGAAUGGACAACAACCUAUCUUCAGGUAUAGCUAGCAACCAAUGAACUAUUUUAUGAAAAACAAUCAGUGAAUAUGAUACGGCAAUUGUUGCCUCUAAAACAAAAUCACUAAGUUGUAGUUUACAAAUUAUGAUGCUAUACAUGUCACCAAUUGUCUACCUUCCUACGGCACUAACUUCUUACCAGUCGACACCGAAGCGCCACCCUCGUCGAAGGACCUAUUUGAACUCUCAAUUUACCAACAACGACCUUCUCAAUUAAAACAUGGUGCGCCCAAACUGCAGUGCAAAGGAAAAUUUCAACCACUUUGCAAAAAGGUCGGAAUAACUCUGGCCAAAAUGAUUCCAGUUGAAAAACGUGAAUGCUGCUGAACUAACUUGUUUAUUUGUAACCAAUCUCACUUGUUUUAAUACCAGAAAAAAUUAUGCAUUUAAUAUAAAAAAAUACACAACAUAUGCACAACCAUACAUUAUCCACCCUAAAUGAAGCUUAAUUCCACAAAAGGAUUAUCUUCAUCAUUAGCAUUAGAAAGGGGAUAAAAAUCUUACAUGUAAAGCAACAUCCUAUGACAGAGUACACGCUAAUGAAUUAUGUAUUAUUUAAACUUACUGACAGGACACAAAAUAACUUGGUAUGAAUGUUCAUGAUAUUCAUUAUGUGAUCGAGUGGUGGAAAAAAUGGUGGACGAAAUGUUAAUGGAAUACCUUAUGUGGACUUUGGAACUGCAAUAUGAUACAGGCAACGAACAAGUAUAGUAGAUAAAAAUUCUCCAGCUUCCAUGGCACCGAUAUGGUCAAAAUAAUAACCAUGUAUUCCCUCGUGUGCAUUAACAAUAGCAUCAAUCUGGAAACUUACUGCAUUGCUGUGGUGAUUCGCAACGGAACCACAUGUUUCUUCUUGCAUCAUGCAACAUCAGUCUCUGCAAAUCUAACAUAUCAUCAGCUUACUAAGCAUUUCCACAAGCAUUUACCAAGCACCAAUCAAUAAAUCAUCAAAUUGACGGAACAGUUUUAGCAUCUUCACAAACAUGCAUCAAGCAACACAAAAACAAACAAGCAAGCAAAUUCCUCCCAGCAAGGAACGCAUGUUGACCUCAAAGAUUUUACUGUUGUUUUAAGAUUGAAUUUGGGAGCACGCCCAUGGAGCGGAGGUUGAUGAUAGCAGCCGCAUCCUCCCAUGGGAGGAGUGGGGCGGCGACGAUGGAUCACGCCUUGCCGGCGAAGUCCAAGGGAGGCGGCAGAUCCCGCUGUGCAAGGGCGUCCUGCGGCUUCUGUACAUGUUGCAUCUGACACAACACAGGAGACGAACCUC
rnacentral:lncRNA from 1 species